AGUUCGGAUUGAAGGCUGAAAUUCGCCUUCAUGAAGCUGGAAUUGCUAGUAAUGGCAGGUCAGCAUACUGCCGUGAAUACGUUCCCGGGCCUUGUACACACCGCCCGUCACACCAUGAGAGUUGGGAAUACCCGAAGCCUGUGAGCUAACUGUAAGGAGGCAGCAGUCGAAGGUAGAAUCAAUGAUUGGGGUGAAGUCGUAACAAGGUAUC
rnacentral:rRNA from 1 species